UACACUCCUACGGGAGGCAGCAGUGGGGAAUAUUGCACAAUGGGCGCAAGCCUGAUGCAGCGACGCCGCGUGGGGGAUGAAGGCCUUCGGGUUGUAAACUCCUUUCGCUAGGGACGAAGCUUUUUUGUGACGGUACCUAGAUAAGAAGCACCGGCUAACUACGUGCCAGCAGCCGCGGUAAUACGUAGGGUGCGAGCGUUGUCCGGAAUUACUGGGCGUAAAGGGCUCGUAGGUGGUUUGUCGCGUCGUCUGUGAAAUUCUGGGGCUUAACUCCGGGCGUGCAGGCGAUACGGGCAUAACUUGAGUGCUGUAGGGGUAACUGGAAUUCCUGGUGUAGCGGUGAAAUGCGCAGAUAUCAGGAGGAACACCGAUGGCGAAGGCAGGUUACUGGGCAGUUACUGACGCUGAGGAGCGAAAGCAUGGGUAGCGAACAGGAUUAGAAACCCUGGUAGUCCCA
rnacentral:rRNA from 1 species